CGGGGCGUGGCGCAGCUUGGUAGCGCACUUGCAUGGGGUGCAAGGGGUCGAAGGUUCAAAUCCUUCCGUCCCGACCA
rnacentral:tRNA from 1 species